CCAAUAGCGUAUAUUAAAGUUGUUGCAGUUAAAAAGCUCGUAGUUGAACCUCGGGAUCAAUGGGUCGGUCAUGCCAAUGGUAUGUACUGGCCUCAUUGGUUCUCACCUUCUAAGGAACCAUGAUGUCAUUCAUUUGAUGUUGUGGGGAAUUAGGACUGUUACCUUGAAAAAAUUAGAGUGUUUAAAGCAGGCUAACGCUU
rnacentral:rRNA from 1 species